rnacentral:rRNA from 1 species
AGUGAACGCUGGCGGUAGGCCUAACACAUGCAAGUCGAACGGCAGCACAGUAAGAGCUUGCUCUUACGGGUGGCGAGUGGCGGACGGGUGGGGAAUACAUCGGAAUCUACUUUUUCGUGGGGGAUAACGUAGGGAAACUUACGCUAAUACCGCAUACGACCUACGGGUGAAAGCAGGGGAUCUUCGGACCUUGCGCGAUUGAAUGAGCCGAUGUCGGAUUAGCUAGUUGGCGGGGUAAAGGCCCACCAAGGCGACGAUCCGUAGCUGGUCUGAGAGGAUGAUCAGCCACACUGGAACUGAGACACGGUCCAGACUCCUACGGGAGGCAGCAGUGGGGAAUAUUGGACAAUGGGCGCGAGCCUGAUCCAGCCAUACCGCGUGGGUGAAGAAGGCCUUCGGGUUGUAAAGCCCUUUUGUUGGGAAAGAAAAGCAGCAGGUUAAUACCCCGCUGUUCUGACGGUACCCAAAGAAUAAGCACCGGCUAACUUCGUG